AACGAACGCUGGCGGCAUGCCUAACACAUGCAAGUCGAACGAGAUCUUCGGGUCUAGUGGCGCACGGGUGCGUAACGCGUGAGAAUCUGCCCUUUGGUUCGGAAUAACAGUUGGAAACGACUGCUAAUACCGGAUGAUGACGAAAGUCCAAAGAUUUAUCGCCAGAGGAUGAGCCCGCGUAGGAUUAGCUAGUUGGUGUGGUAAAGGCGCACCAAGGCGACGAUCCUUAGCUGGUCUGAGAGGAUGAUCAGCCACACUGGGACUGAGACGCGGCCCAGACUCCUACGGGAGGCAGCAGUGGGGAAUAUUGGACAAUGGGCGAAAGCCUGAUCCAGCAAUGCCGCGUGAGUGAUGAAGGCCUUAGGGUUGUAAAGCUCUUUUACCCGGGAUGAUAAUGACAGUACCGGGAGAAUAAGCUCCGGCUAACUCCGUGCCAGCAGCCGCCGUAACAC
rnacentral:rRNA from 1 species